CGUGAGGUUGUGAUUUGUGGUUGCGAAAAGAGAGAGAAGUGAGGAGGGAGCGAAGAGGUAGAGGCGGAGGGAGGGAGGGAGGGAGAGGGAGGAGCGUGGUUUUAAGGAGAAAAAUAAAGUGGAGUGUGGUUAGGAAUGGCAGGAAACGGGAGCGCACGAGAGGAUGUUGGGUUAGGCCCGACGACCAGGAACCUACCUGAGCCCAGAGCUGAUCGAUAUCCGGGACGAGCCGCGGCUCCCGCGCGCUGUGAGUGAGGAUCCCAAGAACCGGGCCCCGAAGAGGUUACCACGUGGCGGCGAAGAGGACCGGGAAGCCGCCGGUCGCGCGGAGGAAGACACCGUCGAAGUGGCCGACCUCCCUCACGGGGUACCCCGAGCAACCCUGACUCAAGGUCCACCACAAGCUAGAGGGUGGUCCCGAAAUAGUCUGCCCGCGUACCUGCCGUUACGUAGAUUCCAAACAACGUCAUCAACUCAACACCACCUACCGGUAGCUUCCACGACCGAGUUACAUAACAUAAGCUCGUACUUACUUGCCUACUUGUUCACUUCAUGAGGGAGGUAGGCUUUUAUGAACAGUAGUUUUACUUAUUUUCCCCUACAUAGAUCUACAUAAAAUCAAGAUCUAUGUAGAAAAAAACAGGUAAAACUACUGUUCAUAAAAGCCUGCCUCCCUCAUGCAUCAAUAGUAACUGUGUGUUCACUCUUACAUCGGCCAAGAACCCAGCUCGAUAAAAUACACGUGUUCGACAUAGGUAAAACGUUCAUCACACCGUCCGUCUCUCGAAAGUAUGUCUAAAUGUCAAUCACUCGAAUCGACCACUAGACUGUAAUUAACGUGCGUCACUAAUUUUAGACGUAUACCUACUGCUCACCACCAAAUGACUACAGUCUAUGAAAAAUUGACAAUGCGAAGAUACACUGGGAAAACGACGAAAUCUACUGACAGAACGUCACACCGUCCGUCAUCGGCAUACUUUUGAGACCAAUCUGUAUCCUAGUGUUCCUGAUCCAGACCUUAGUACAUUUUAACCGCAUGUCACUAAAACAAAACAAAACUCCUUACGGAUUGUAUUAACUACAGAACAAACUAUUGUAUACGAUGACUUCAAGAUACUAACAUCCGGGACACGUGAUCGUCUAUUUGGUCCAUACCAGCAUUAUUUACUGUAGAAUCUAAAUCACGGUCUAUGUACGGUAUAAAAAUACAGCUUUGCUAUCAUCGAUUGUUGAAGACUAUCAUGGUGGUGAGCAACAUCUCGUACGACGGUUUUUUCGCCCUUUAGUUUUCAACUGGACAAUGUAAAUGAUAAACCUCAAACUCCCCUUUCUGACAAUAAAGUCGACGUGGUAACUGUAAGGAUCAAAACGUGAAACUGGACAUGUUUUAACAUUCCUGAGUUGAAUGGGUAAAAGUACCAAACUUCAGAAUGUACAAAGUUUCGGUAUCUGUACGCGUAGAUAGAUCACUUGAAUUAUCCAUCCCUCAAUAAUUAGAAAUUACGAUUUUUUGUUUAGUCCUGUUCUUCGACGACAAGGUACAGAGGUAUUGAGGUCUGUUCUUCAACUUCUACAAUACAUUGCCCGAAUUGCCGACGAGAUCUAAACUCAUAUGUUGUAGUUACGGACAUUACGGCAAACAUUAAACGUCAUACAACACUGGUCCAAAGGAAAAAACGGUAAAUAAGGUAGAAAAGAACCCAAUAAUGAUUCGGAGAAAAGACGACCUUCGAUAAUUAUGAACUUAACAUGGUUUAAACAGACUAAACGGUACGUAACUAUAGGGAAAUGGAACAAUGAAUCGUUAGGUAUUCUAGAAAGUUUUAAUAACGGAUUAAUUAAUAUUGGUACCUUAGAACGCGUAUGAGUUAUAACCCAAAACAUAAAACCGACAAAGCGAAGUUCUAAAUCGUGGAAGAUAAAGACGUUUACGUCGGUUCGUACUGAUAUUAAUAUUUCGGGAAACGACGAUAAGAAAAUGUUGAGUGAGAGAUACAUUAACAUCCUUUGUAACGCAAAUACGUCGUUUAAGUGAGUGAACAAUAACUUGUAAGAUGGUAAAUAUAGGGAUAUUUCUACAGUUGAACACCACCGCCAGACCGGUGGAAACCCGAUACGGUGGAUUACCUAGACCGUCUUCGUCUAUAUCAAGCAGCCUAGACAGGGUCUAAACAAAUUUAGACAUCGUUAUACCCGUAACACGAUCACUGCAAGGGUUACACCAAGAAAUAUCAAGGCAAGAAUCCAAUCCUUCGUUGAGUUUGUACUAGAACGCGACCAUUAAAAAAAACGUCUAUCAUAUAAGGAAGAUACGAAAGACAUGGUCACGGGGUGAUGAAAGCAUGUUAUAAGAGGUCGAAGACACAAAAUAAUUACGUAUACGUAUGUAUCUACACCAGAAAACCAAGUUAAGUCAUGGCGAAAAACCACCUACCACAGACCUCUACACUACUGUGUUUUGGACAACAUGCACUACUUAUACCGGACUAGUCGUUACUUUACGAACAGUGUGAACACCUCUUAUUAUGUGUGGGCCGACAUGUCGAUCUCGUUAGUGGGCAAUCUUCUUACUUAAACCUACUCCCAUGAUAGAACUGUUGUUACGGUGGUCUUGGUGGUAGAGCUUUGAGCCCGUACGUCUAACGUCAAAAGGCGGUAGCCCAGAGACUUUAUGAUAAUGUAUUAUGGUAUAUACUACAACAAGGACAAAGAUCGUUCUAUCGCUAAAACCUACGAGCCGAAGGACAGUUUGUUCGUAAAUUAUAAUACGUACUACUCCCGGAACGAAACCAAGGAGAAACCCUACUACCGGUUCCUUGGCAUUGUCCGUACGAUUGACGAAGACUAAAACAUAAUUAAAACUCUUUCAACGUCUCCUUGUAAGCUCAAGACCCGGUACUUCUCGAACUUUACGUAAGUCAAAGACGAACCUUUCUUCGUUUUGACGUCAUAAUACCUCCCCGACUACAGCGUCCGUACGUUUCUUCCGGUAAUCAAGUACAAUUCCUAAGCCUAUUAAAUUCCCUACACCGUGACUGAUAUUAUGUUUUACUUUAUAGAAGUCAGGGAUAGAAAUUCAGGAGUUGCCUAUAUAGUCCCUAUGGCAAUGAAUUAGAACGUUGAGAAGGUCCCUAAAACUUUAAAGAAACGAGUUUCGAGGUUCUUGUUGGUCUUCCAAUAGGGUAAAACGCCUUAGUCUAAAGGUCAUAAGGAUAACCAUGUACCAGCGUCGUAUGACCUUCCCGUUCAUGAUCUGUCGAAUCUUGUAGCCCCGACUCACGAGGAGAUUAAUGAACGGACCUAAAAGAAGACCUUCUAUCUUAUUCGAGUUAAGGAUAUCAACGACUAUUACCUAGGGAACAACUACAGAUGAGUGAGUCACUAUAGUACCGAGACCGCUUCUUACUACAAAUGCGAACGUAACUUGAACUCGUUAACUGGCACCUCUUACGAAACCUCGACGUUAUAGUCCACUUACCCGCCUCUGUCACAGUAUGGACAAACUCGUGCUCAUGCAACGAGCUCCACAACCUAGUUAACAGACAAGGUCCCCACGCCGCCGAACAGCAAUAACUUGGCUACUGAUCUAAACACGUUCCUUAAUAGAGUAACUCUCUGCGUUAUUGUAAAGAGGAACCUAUUGUAAACACAUCGGUAAAGUAUGUACUUUCGGACAACAUAAACUAACCCUGUUUUAUUUUUACAACAAAACCGUCUACGUCCUCAACAAGUAUAGAAGGUAACACAAAAGUGAAACUUUGAAUGUUAUAGUCCUUAAUACGUGUCGGCUCGGAAGAACCGUUCUUGUCUGGUACGGAACCUUCGUACUUCUGACCUGACUGACUUAGUCAAGACGGCGUUGGAAAGGGACGAAACGACUAGCCUUACGAAGUUGCAUGACAACUCCGAACCGAUGACAUUUCUUCCCCCUGUUCGAGUCUAACUCUAAAUUCUCGAUGUAUUAGUAAAACUUCUAAACUACCUUUAGUACCCCGUCCAACGUAACAAGUCAUUACUGGAUAUACAAGAGUACCGUACCAUACUAAAGAGUACCGUACCUAUAUCUAAGUUUUUAGACACUUUAGUUAGUUGCACACACACAAAAAGCCAGUAACUCUUAAGUACUAAGAGUUGUCAGCGAUUGGAUAACGUUAGAACGACUGUUGUCAUUCUUGGUUCAAUACAAAGCGAGAUUACCACACAUCUAGUCAAAUACACGACGAAUAAAACUUUUCCUUAUCUCCAGCACUAACCACGUUACCCGAUGUUGCUUCUGGACUCUGGAUUCUUCUUCAAACGUUUCUU
rnacentral:rRNA from 1 species